UAAGGAAAAUGAAAAGAUGAGCCACAGUCUAGGAGAAAACAUUUGCAAAUGCAUAUCUGAUAAAAAUAUGCAAUGAACUCUAAAAAUUCAGCAGUAAGAAACAAACAACCCAGUUGAAAAAGGGGCAAAAGAUAUAAAUGGAUUGUGAUGAUCAUUAUACAACUAGAGAUGUGAUAAAUUCAUUGAAUUAAAAAAAAAAAGUAUAAAUGGACACCUCACCAAAAAAGACAUACAGUCGGCAAAUAAGCAUUUGAAAAGAUGCUCAAUAUCCCACAGCAUUAGGUAAUUGCAAAUUAAAUAAUGAGAUACCCCUAUACACUUACUUAAAUGGCUAAAAUCCCCAAACUGGACAAUACCUGGUGACACCAGGGAGCAGCAGGGACUCUCUUACAUUGCUGACAGGAAUGCAAAAUGCUACAGUCACUUUGGAAGAUGGUUCGGCAGGUUCUUACAAAGCUAAACAGUCUUAUCAUAUAAUCCAGCAAUCACUCUCCUUGGUAUUUACACACUAUAGUUGAAAACGUGUCCAUACAAAAGUUUGCAGAAGAAUGUUUAUAACAGAUUCAUCCGUAAUUACCCCAAACUGAAAACAACCAAGCUGUUCUCAAAUAAGUGAAUGGAUAAACAGCAGGUACGGACAUACCAUGGAGUGUUAUUCAGCAAUGAAACGCAAAGAGCAAUCCACACAAAAAGACGUGGAGGAAACUUAAAUGCACGUUGCUGAGUCAAAGAAGCCAAGGUGCAAGGUUAUAUACUGUGUGAUUCCAACUACAUGACAUUCUGGAAAAGGCGAAACUGUAGAGACGGUAAAGAGAUAGUGCUUGCCAGGGGUUUGGGGGGAGGCACGAGGAGUGAACAGGUGCCUCACAUGGAUUUUUACAAAACAGUUCUGCAUGACACAAUAAUGGUGGGUAGGUGACAUUAGCCAUGUGUCAAAAAACCUGUAGCAUGUACAUUGGCAAGAGUAAACCUUGGAAUUCCUGUUGUGGCUCAGCGGGAACGAAUCUGACUAACAUCCACGAGGACGCAGGUUCGAUCCCUGGCCUUGCUCAGUGGGUUAAGGAUCCAGCGUUGCUGUGAGCGGUGGCGUAGGUUGCAGACAUGGCUCAGAUCUGGCUGUGAUGUAGGCCAAUGGUUAAAGCUCUGAUUCAACCCCCAGCCUGGGAACCUCCGUAUGCCUCGGGUGCAGCCCUAAAAAGACAAAAUAAAUAAAUAAAUAAACCUUGAUGCAAAUUACAGAGCUUAGUUAAUAAUCAUGUAUUAAUAUUGGUUCAUUAAUUGCAAUUAUUAGUUAUAAUUACUUAUCCCACUAAUGCAAGAUGUUAAAAAAAUAAGGGGAAACUGUAUGGAGAAGGAGAGUGUGUGGGAACUAUGUUACCUACUCAAUUGCUCUAGAAAUUUAAUACUCUUCUUAAAAGAUAACUAUUUUUAUUUUAUUUUAUUAUUUUUUUUUGUCUUUUUGCCAUUUCUUGGGCCGCUCCUGUGGCAUAUGGAGGUUCCCAGGCUAGGGCGGCCCUAGAAAAGGCAAAAAGACAAAAAAAAAAAAAAAAAAAAAAAAAAAAAAAUGAUGCCCUGAGGGCCCCCUUUAAGGAUCCUAUAGCUGCUGAAAAUGUUCUGCUGUGGUGGGAGACUCCUUCACCGGAGUGCUGUUAUGCCUCUUGAUUUCAAGAAGAGUUUUAGGAGUUCCCCAGUGGCUCAGCAGGUUCAGGACCUGGCAUCGUCACCGCUGUGGCUCUGGUUGCUUCUGUAGCAUGGGUUCAAUCUCUAGCCAGGAAACUUCUGCAUACCUCGGGCAUGGCAGAAAAAAAAACCAGAGAAGAAGAGAGAGCUUUUAGAAAGCCCCCUGAAAGCCUGCCCCCCGCCCCAAUGCCUGUCCAAGGAGUCAGCACAGCCUUUGCCUUCUGGGGGUGUAACACUGGUCUUUCCUAAAUGCUGGCUUUGCUGAGGUCUCAACAUGCUCUGUCCAGGCCCGUGCAAAUGGGGAUAUUUAUUGGCGAUGGGAUGGCUCUUGCUAAGGAGGGCCAGGCAGGACCUAGACACUGGACGUUCAUUCAUUCAUUCAUUCAUUCCACAAAUACAGAGCAGGUACUGAAAUGGACUUGGGACUAUGGCUAAAUGGGUACUGGCCACACAGCAAUGAACAGCACACAGCUCUGGCCCCAUGGAGUUUCAGCUGGAGAAUAAAGUGGACAUCUAAACGCCAGCACAUGAGGUGCUUGCUGGCAAUGAACAUGCAGAGGGCCGUGGGGGUGGGAGGAGGGCAGAUGUUUUGGAGGGACUCUCUGUGGCAGGUGGUGGGCAGCACCUGUGCCAGGAGCAGGCAGAGAGCAUGUCCAGGGGAGCGGUGACAGGUGGCGCGAGGAGGCCCAGACGGAAAGGUGGCAUACAGAGGGUCUGCAGGGGAAGGACCGGAGGUGCCCUGGACAGAAUGGAGAACAGCUUGGGGAGCCAGGCGGCUGGGCCUGGGGGUGGACAGGCAGGGGGACAGUUGGCAUCCAAGAGCCUUGACAGCUGGUGACAGAGCCUCUCAUCCUCCAGGGAGAGCAGGAGGGGGCCCUCGGCAGCAGGGCUGAGGGAACCACGAUAGAGCUUGGUCACUGGGGUACACGGCAGGAGGACAUCGUAGGCCGAGCCAGAGCCCAGUUUCCAAGGACAAGGGCAGUGCAGGGCUGACGGGCGCAGGGCUGAUUUAAUGCUAAGCCUGGAGUUCCUAAAGCCGACGCCGACAGAGCCUGAGCUGGUCACAGAGCCUGGGCCGGCCUGCGUCUGCAGACGGAGCUCCAGAUGAUGAAGCUCUGGUUCCCAGCCACAGAUUAAAGGCCCCGGGGGAGUUGGAGGAAGAAUGCCAUGGCCUGGCAGAUCCUCACUGCACUGCUCUGAGUCAGGGCCUGGCACUGUUACCCUUCUGUGAAAUACUCUCAAAUUGACAGAAAAGAUGCCGUAACAAUACAACAGUCCCCCUUUUCAGCAGGGGAUGCGUUCCAAGGCCCCUGGUGGAUGCCUGAACUCGAGGAGGGCAUGGAGCCCCACACAGCGUAUAUGCCACUUCUUCCCAUGCAGACAUGCCCAGGAUAAAGUUUCCUUUACAAAGUGGGCACAGUAAGAGAUUAACAACAGCUAAUAAUCGGAUAGCACAGUUAUAAAGAUAUACUGUAAUAGAAUUAUGGACAAGUGUGCGCACUCUGUCUCUCUCAAAAUAUCUUAUUGUUCAAAUUUAAGGCCUUUCCAUCUUAACCAAGCACUUACCAGGCACUGUGGCUGUAACUUUUGCAGUUUGAGGUACAGCAGCAAAACUAGCAUCUGUUGCCUUUUCUUCCUCACAAUUUCGCAAAUAGAAGAUUCAUUUUUAUCAUAGAUUUUAGCAGCCUCGCAAUAUGAUUUUUUUUCUUCAUUAAGUCCAGAACUUGCACUUUUCUGCUUAAAGGAUGCACUUAAUAGUUUGGCUUGGGUGUGUCUGAAUCACCAGCAUCACUCCUCUUGUGCUUGGGGGCUAUUACGAAGUAAAAUAAAGGUGCCUCGAACCCAAGCACUGAGAUUGUGCAGCAGUCAAUCUGAUAACUCAGCGACU
rnacentral:lncRNA from 1 species